AAGUCGUAACAAGGUUUCCGUAGGUGAACCUGCGGAAGGAUCAUUACUGAAUUUAUGACAAGGUUGUAGCUGGCCCUAUCCGGGCAUGUGCACGCCUUGCUCAUUCCAAUUCUUACACCUCUGUGCACUUAACAUGGGCUGGUCGUAGGCUUUUGUCUUGCUUCACUGUGAGACGGGCUUUGACCUGCCUGUGGUUACUCUACAAACACUUUAAAGUAUUAGAAUGUAACAUCGCGGAUAAUAAACGCAUCUUAUACAACUUUCAGCAACGGAUCUCUUGGCUCUC
rnacentral:misc_RNA from 1 species